AUGCCAACACGCGCACGAUUUCUUUUCUUUGCUCCAAGAGUCCUCAUUCAAGAGGACUCUUGAUUUUUGGCAUUAACUUGAAAUGUUUGCACCCCUUUUUGGGUUGCUUCCAGGUGGCAUGAUCUGACCUAAUUGCUCACUAAAUUGGGUUAGCAAAUUAGCAAGGCAUGAGACCAAAUUGAUCUCCCAAAGAGCUAGUGUUUCCACACGUGCUAGCAUGCUUAUCGGGAACCUAAUUGGAUCUAAAAUUCCAAUCA
rnacentral:lncRNA from 1 species